rnacentral:rRNA from 1 species
CACUUCUUGUACGUAAGAAGCAAUACCUGCUCAAUGCUUUUAGUGAAUAGCCGCAGUAUUUUGACUGUGCUAAGGUAGCAUAAUCAUUUGUCUUUUAAUUGAAGGCUGGUAUGAAUGGUUUGAUGAGGGAAUAACUGUCUCUUGAAGAAAUUUUGAAUUUCAUUUUUGAGUGAAAAAGCUUAAAUAAAUUUAAAGGACGAUCAGACCCUAUGGAGUUUUUUGUUGGGGCGACAAAGAGUUAAAAAUUAACACUCUUUUUUAUAAACACUUAUUAGUGGAAAGUUGAUCCUAAUGGCUAGAUUAAAAGACUAAGUUACCCUAGGGAUAACAGCGUAAUUUUUUUGGAGAGUUCAUAUCGAUAAAAGAGUUUGCGACCUCGAUGUUGGAUUAAGAGAUUAAUAGGGUGUAGAAGUUCUAUUGGAAAGUCUGUUCGACUUUUGAAAUCUUACA